rfam:Erinaceus europaeus unplaced genomic scaffold scaffold00728, whole genome shotgun sequence
GGAUGUGAGGGCAAUCUGGCUACGACAUCUGGCUAUUGAUCACCAUGCUUUAUUCGACUGAUCGGGCUGACUAGGCAGGUGUCCCCUCCACUCUCACUGCUCCAUGUAUCUCCUUGAAGCUGCGUAUUUGAAGAGGACAACCUUCUCCCAGGAGAGAUGGGCUGGCCUUUGGUCAGGGGUACAUGAGUAGCUGCACUCUCCUGCAAGAACCUCCAAACAGGCUCUCAAACUUCUAACAUAACAGAGGUUGUUUUUGAACAUUUUGCUUAGUGUUGGGUAAAAUAAUGGGGAAAUCAGUUACUAAUGCUAUGUAGUAUAUGAGAUGU